rnacentral:misc_RNA from 1 species
GAUGAAGAACGUAGCGAAAUGCGAUAAGUAGUGUGAAUUGCAGAAUUCAGUGAAUCAUCGAAUCUUUGAACGCUCAUUGCGCCGCUCGGUAGUCCGUGGGGCAUGCCUGUUCGAGCGUCAUUUACCCCUCAAGCACUGCUUGGUGUUGGGCGUCUGUCCCGCUUCGCGCGCGGACUCGCCCCAAAGGUAUUGGCAGCGGUCGUGCCAGCUUCUCGCGCAGCACAUUGCGCUUCUCGAGGCGGUCGAUCGGCGUCCACGAAGCUCACCUCCACCGUUUGACCUCGGAUCAGGUAGGGAUACCCGCUGAACUUAAGCAUAUCAAUAAGCGGAGGA